rnacentral:rRNA from 1 species
AUUGAACGCUGGCGGCAGGCCUAACACAUGCAAGUCGAACGAGUGGCGGACGGGUGAGUAAUGUCUGGGAAACUGCCUGAUGGAGGGGGAUAACUACUGGAAACGGUAGCUAAUACCGCAUACCAUCGGAUGUGCCCAGAUGGGAUUAGCUAGUAGGUGGGGUAAAGGCUCACCUAGGCGACGAUCCCUAGCUGGUCUGAGAGGAUGAGAUAGUUGGUGGGGGAAAGGGUCAACAUGGGGACGAUCCGUAGCUGGGUUUGGAAGAUGAACAGCCAAACUGGAACUGAGAAAAGGGCCAGACUCCUACGGUAGGCAGCGGCGGAAGCCUGAUGCAGCCAUGCCGCGUGGAUGAAGAAAGCCUUAGGGUUGUAAAGUACUUUCAGCAGAGAAGAAAGGAGAUAAGUUAAUACCUUUGUCUAUUGACGGUAUCCGCAGAAAACACCGGCUAACUCCGUGCCAGCAGCCGCGGUAAUAC